rnacentral:lncRNA from 1 species
UACAUAUAUAUUUAUACAUAUAUAUUUAUUGUUUUUUCCCCCCGAUUGUUUAGUUCAAUGACGAAGACAUAAAAGAUCUUUUAAAGGAUGUAGGGAGCACUACCAGUUAUAAAGUUCAAUAUGACGAAGAAAAAAAAGUACACACCGCGUUUGUUGAAUUUAAAAACGAAGAACAGGCAAAGGCUGCUUUAAAUUUGAAUGGAUUAAAAGUAGGAGAAUAUGAAAUCACUAUAAAAGAUGCAUAUAGCUUACUAAUUGAAAAAGACAUUAAAAAUAAUAAUUUUUCGUUUUAUAGUAACACAAACCAAAGUGAAAACACUACUCAAAAGACAUUGGUGAACAAACAAGUAACGGUCAAUGAAAAGGUUGAAAAGGUUUUGGCACUAAAAGAAAAACUAACAUUAAAAUUGUGCGCAAUGUAUAAUCCAAACUUACUUUUAGUUAACAAUUUAAUUAAAAAUAAUGCACAACUAUUAAACACAAAUGAUACGCAAUUUAUAAACACAAACACUAUACCACUUGUAAAUCCAAAUGACAACUUAAAUGUUACUAAAAAUGGUAUUCCUAAUAAUGAGAAGAACACUACAUAUGAAAAAAAACAUUUAAAUGAAAAGAAUAGCUCAAAAGAAAUAGAAAAAAAAGAAUAUACAUAUAAUUCUAACGACUUAAACAGUAAUAAAGAUAAAACAGGCAUAACUACUAAUACUACUAUUAGUAGUAGCAGUUGCAGUCGUAGUAGUAGUAAACAUCAUAUCAAAAAAAAAAAGAAAAAAGAAAAAAAAAAAAAAGAUAGCAAUAAAUACAAUGAUUCAAACUCACCCCCUUAUAGCAAUUUAUCUUCAAUUUAUAGUAACUUGUCGGAAUCAAGUAAACAAGAAACUUCUUUUUUUGACAGGAGCAAAAACAGGAGAAUAAGCAGGAGCAGACAUAGAAGCAUAAGUAGCAGUAGAAGUAUAACUAGCAGUAGAAGUAUAAGUGAUGAUCAUAGAAAAAGAAGCAGGAUAAGUGAGAGGCGAAAAUAUAUAUAUAAAAAACACCAUAGCAGAAAAAGAAAAAAACGCACUAGCAACUCUAGAAGUUAUGACAAGUCUAGCUAUACUAACAGCAAUUCUAUAAGUUCGUAUGAAUAUAACAAAAAUAAUAGAUAUCACCAAAAAGAAAAAAAAAGAAAUAUAUAUAUAAAAACAAAAAAUAAAUAUUAUCACUCCCCCCAGUAUAGUGAUACCGAUUCAUCAUAUUCUUCGAGAAAAAAGAAAAAAAAAGUGAGAAGCAUAUCCAGUAGUCAAAAACCUUGGUGGAUAAAGGAAUCUGAAAAAAUGGAAAUGCGCAAGAGAAUGAAAGAAAAA